rnacentral:tRNA from 1 species
GGAAAUGUGCCUGAGUCACACCAAGGGCUGCUUUGAUAGAGCACUAUACAUGGGUUAAACCCCAUCAUUUCC